UGUCUUAGCCAGGGCUGGUGCAGAGGGAGGGAAGGACACCUGGACAAAUGGAAAUAAAUGUAUAUAGCUUAUUGCAACCAAAAAUAGACUGUCAAUAGAUUAUCAAUUGGAAAUCUCAUGCCCACUUUGGGGAGCCUGAACUUACAUGUGAAUCUAUGGAGCCUCUGUUUUCCCUUCCCCUCUGGGCAAAUGCAGACAUGGUGGUUGGGUUCAUCACCAGGUCUCGCCUUGCCAUGUGGCUGCAGCAGGUCCCAGCCUGCAAACUUAGAUUUGGGGUACUGGAGCAGUGCUGCACCCUCAGCAAAGAGGUAUCCUCCAAGAGGGUGACCCUCACUGCAAGAAUGAUAUUGAGGCCCUGGUGUGUAUCCAAAGAAGGGCAAUGAAGCUGUGAAGGGUCUGGAGCACAGGACUUAUGGGGAGUGUCUGAGGGAACUGGGAUUGGUCAGUCUGGAGAAGAGGAGGCUCGGGGUAGACCUUAUCGCUCACUAUAACCACUGGAAAGGAGACUGUGUUGAGGUAGGGGUUGGCCUCUUCUCCCAGGUAACAGUGAUAGGACAAGAGACCUCAAAUUGCACUAGGGGAGGUUCAGGUUGGAUGUUAGGAACCAUUUCUUCUUGGAAAGAGUGGUGAGGCAGUGGCACGGGCUGCCCAGGGAGGUGGUGGAGUCACCGUCCCUGGAGGUGUUCGAGAACCGUGUGGAUGUGGCACUGAAAAAAUUAACCACUUAUUGGCUUAUUCCCUCUAAAAGGUUAUGUGUGGAUUAUAAUUGCAACAUCCUUUCUCCAGACGUACAAACAGAAACAUUGUCCUUCUCCAAAGACAUCUCUGUUUCAUAGAAACCUAGAUAGAUUCCUGUAAUUUUCCAACUAUUGCAGUUACGAAACACCUUGCUCUUGAAGAUUAUUAUUAGAUCCACCAGUCUUCUCUUCCAUCUAUAUGCUCUUAACAGUCAAGCUGUUUUUGUAUCCUCUCACAAACUUUCAAAUUAAACUCCUACAUGCUUUCCUGCUUCACAAUCGGGUGCUUUGGGACACCACUACCAUUAGCUCGUUUAAGAGCAAAACCAUUAUUCACAUGAGGCAGAAAUGCUUCGUCUUCAAACAGUAAACUCCACCUUAUAAAACAAAUUUCCAUUACGCUCAAUAUUUAGUUUAAGCACUCAGUACCACACAAUGCAAUCUCAGACACAUUCAGUUUAAUGGAAGAAAUGAUUUCCAGAAAGGAAAAGUGAAAUUUCCACGAGAAGUCUGGGGUAAUUUUGUGUUAAUUAAAAUGUUUUCGAUGGUUCUUUUGUAGUCACAUACAUCACUAACUG
ensembl:lncRNA